rnacentral:rRNA from 1 species
AGCGAACGCUGGCGGCAGGCCUAACACAUGCAAGUCGAGCGCCGAGCAAUGGGAGCGGCAGGCGGUUGAGUAACGCGUGGGGAUGUGCCCAAUGGUGCGGAAUAACCCAGGGAAACUUGGAUUAAUGCCGCAUGUGCCCUUCGGGGGAAAGAUUUAUCGCCAUUGGAUCAACCGGCGUCUGAUUAGCUAGUUGGUGAGGUAAAGGCUCACCAAGGCGACGAUCAGUAGCUGGUCUGAGAGGAUGAUCAGUCACACUGAGAAGGAGACACGGCCCGGACUCCUACGGUAGGCAGCAGUGGGGAAUAAUGGAUAAUGGGCGCAAGCCUGAUCCAGCCAUGCCGCGUGAGUGAUGAAGGCCUUAGGGUUGUAAAGCUCUUUCGCUGGUGAAGAUAAUGACGGUAACCGGAGAAGAAGCCCCGGCUAACUUCGUGCCAGCCGCCGCAGUAA